rnacentral:rRNA from 1 species
CCUACGGGUGGCAGCAGUGAGGAAUAUUGGUCAAUGGACGAGAGUCUGAACCAGCCAAGUAGCGUGAAGGAUGACUGCCCUAUGGGUUGUAAACUUCUUUUAUAUGGGAAUAAAAUGUUCCACGUGUGGGAUUUUGUAUGUACCAUAUGAAUAAGGAUCGGCUAACUCCGUGCCAGCAGCCGCGGUAAUACGGAGGAUCCGAGCGUUAUCCGGAUUUAUUGGGUUUAAAGGGAGCGUAGGUGGAUUGUUAAGUCAGUUGUGAAAGUUUGCGGCUCAACCGUAAAAUUGCAGUUGAAACUGGCAGUCGUGAGUACAGUAGAGGAGGGCGGAACUCGGGGGGUAGCGGUGAAAUGCUUAGAUAUCACGAAGAACUCCGAUUGCGAAGGCAGUUCAAUGGACUGCAAUGGACACUGAGGCUCGAAAGUGUGGGUAUCAAACAGGAGUAGAUACCCCUGUAGUC